UGUGUGUGUGUGUGUGUGAAGACUAUAAUGAUAAUUAUUUAAGGGCAUGGAGGAGGAGAUGGAUUUUUAACCCGAUGGAGUUAAUUACCUUUGCAGGUAAGUUUCUGACUCCAUUGGUAUGAAUCCUGAAGUACUGUUGAAAACAUGUUUGGCAGAAUGUUUGGAAAAUUCACUAUGCAAUGACUGUGGGAUUUCUUGAGGGAGGGAGGGAAGGAGGGAAGAAAAAUAAUGUUGAAACCCACUUUCUUUGGCUGUAAAUGUUCCUUCUUUCCUACGCAGAGGACCCGCUUGGAUUUAACCUUCUGUCGCCACUCCUAAGGGGUGUUGCUGCUGUGCCCUCCUAACGGUCCUCUGGAAACAACGAAGAAUGCAAAAAUGCUCACAGAGGUUCCCUGCCCCUGAAUUUGUCCUGUGAGAUUCCAAGGGUUUUGUACACCAAAGACUUUUAAAACACUGAGCCAACCAAUCUUGAUAAGUUUGAACAAAACAAAAAUACUUCGUUGCACUGUGGACUCUACCAAAGAAGGGUUCUGAACAGACUGACACUGGACUAUGCUAAACCAUUUGGGUCUAGAGUUGGAUAGAAUCUUGAACUGAGUCAGUGUGUUUUGCUUUGUCUUGAUGUCUCUUAACUCUGCCAUUUUCUGCACUGUGAAAACCAGAAAACUCUUCCAUCCCACUCCACCCCAUCCCUUUUUUCUUGGUUUGCAUUGUGGUGAUACAGAACUGUGCCUUGCUCAUCUAAACAUUUUUGUAUUGUUAAUUCUAAUAAAAUAAAGGUGCUGUGUUACAAGAA